GUGGGGAGGAAGUCCCUCCCCCCAUGCAACAGCGUAACAUAGCGGGACGCGCCCGCGGAGUUCUGGAACCAGGAAGUCCGAAAUGAAGGUGUCAGCAGGAUCAUGCUUCCUCUGAAACUCUGGACUGUUCCUCAUUGGAAAACAGCAGUGAACUAGUGUUUUCCCAAGGAGCAAGAACUUGAUCCACCUGAAUUUGACUGCUAAUUUUGUGGAAUAUUAUGGAAUGAAGCUCCUGUGAGGCUUUGAGUCAUUCUGACUAUAAAAUGCAGGAUACAAUGCAGACUGUGUUCUGCAGCGUUCCAUCUAGGUGGCAUUUAGAAUGUAGGGAUUCUGUUAAUGGAUGAGAAACCUGGAGUCUGUAUCUAUUUAGAAAA